UACGUAGGGUGCGAGCGUUAAUCGGAAUUACUGGGCGUAAAGUGUGCGCAGGCGGCCGAGCAAGUCGAGUGUGAAAGCCCCGAGCUUAACUUGGGAACUGCGCUCGAAACUACUUGGCUAGAGUGUGGCAGAGGGAGGUGGAAUUCCACGUGUAGCGGUGAAAUGCGUAGAGAUGUGGAGGAACACCGAUGGCGAAGGCAGCCUCCUGGGCCAACACUGACGCUCAGUGCACGAAAGCGUGGGGAGCAAACAGG
rnacentral:rRNA from 1 species